rnacentral:rRNA from 1 species
AUUGAACGCUGGCGGCAGGCCUAACACAUGCAAGUCGAGCGGAUGAAGGGAGCUUGCUCCUGGAUUCAGCGGCGGACGGGGAAGUAAUGCCUAGGACUCUGCCUGGUAGUGGGGGAUAACUGCCGGAAACGGGCGCUAAUACCGCAUACGUCCUGAGGGAGAAAGUGUGGGAUCUUCGGACCUCACGCUAUCAGAUGAGGGUAGGUCGGAUUAGCUAGUUGGUGGGGUAAAGGCCUACCAAGGCGACGAUCCGUAACUGGUCUGAGAGGAUGAUCAGUCACAAUAGAACUGAGACGCGGUGCAGACUCCUACGGGAGGCAGCAGUGGGGAAUAUUGGACAACGGGCGAAAGACUGAUCCAGCCAUGCCGCGUGUGUGAAGAAGGUCUUCGGAUUGUAAAGCACUUUAAGUUGGGAGGAAGGGCAGUAAGUUAAUACCUUGCUGUGUUGACGUUACCAACAGAAUAAGCACCGGCUAACUUCGUG